rnacentral:lncRNA from 1 species
GGUGGCUGGCCUGACCUUGAUCAUCUGCCUGUGGGGCUCCCUGGGGCACAGUUGGGAAUUUGUCCAUGGCACUGGGGCCUGGGCAUGGGAGGCAAGGCCGGGCAGUGGGAGGUGCCCUGAAUUGGUGAUCCAGCCACUUAAGCACUGAACCUCAAUACAGGAGACGUCACAGGAUUGCUGUAAGGAUCUAAAGAGCUGCCUCAGAAGAGAAGAAGGAACGGACACAAAUGAAAAUCAGAACACUAAAGAGAUUCAAAGAUUUGUCAUUUCCCUUCUGCUCAUGAAGGCCCUUGAUAGCUACACACGCAGUCAAGGCAACAAGCAAGCCUUCCACAUCCACGGUGGAUGGAGGCGCUCUUGAAAGGGGAGCCUUAGGAUGAAGGGAAAGGAAAAUGACCAGAAGGAAAGGACGGUGGGAGCGUAAAGAAGACUGACCUUGCACAGGGAAGGUGUGGACUUCUAGCCCAGCUAGAGCUGGACGUCUGCUUGCCCGACCCCGUGUCCUUGAGAAGGUCAGCUUCGAAGCCUCAGUCUCCCCACCUAUGAAACGAGGAUGCGGGUCUCCAACUCACCCACAGUGCGGCCCCCUUGAAAGACUCA